rnacentral:sRNA from 2 species
UUUUUUCUUCGUUAGGUGAGGCUUCUACAUAGACAGAUGCCACUGCCCGGAAAUGUCGAGAGACUCUAACGGGUUAACAGGUAUUACCGGCUUAAGGUUUUACCUAAUGUGGCUGGGCGCAUGUCCCUAGCUAUGUAUGUGCUAAAGCUUGUACGAGAGGAGAAGGCC